rnacentral:sRNA from 1 species
GUUAAAAAAUUGAACCAAUAGUGAAAAGAGAAAUGUCAUGAUUGGUUGUAGAGAGUAUCUUAGAGUUUUUCAUUUGAGAAACUUUCUAUACACUCUCUCCUUUAUUUUUAUUAUUUUUAUUUAUUUAAUUGUGAGAAACUCUUAUGAGAAAUCCCUACUGAAAAUGGUCUAACAACUGGAAAGUUUAUUA